CCGAAUUUCUGCGCCGUUACUCUGGAAAAAUCACUCCAAAACCCUCAUUAAAAAGCUCCGUUUUGAACUUGUUGAGAUUUUCACACCGAAGCUCAACAAGCUCGAGCUAGACCCCUGCUAAACCAAAGCAAUCACUACAUCAGUAAUAAGCGAAGGAAAAGAAGAACGUCAAGGGAGAGGAUCCCAAGGAGAAGAAACAAAAAGAGACUGAAGAAGAUCGCUUACCCGAGGUCUUAGGUGCUUACAGUAGUUGAUUCGAUCCCAUGAAGAAAGUUAGAAACUUGAAGAAGAGAUUGGAAAGACCCGUUGAGUUGGAUAAAAUCAACAAUGAGACUAGGGUUCAAGAUGUCGAUUGGAUUUGCUCUCUUUCAGAGUCUGAGAUUGAUUUUAUGAUUAGCUUGAAACUGUUGAUCACAAAGCGAGCAGAAAGGAUAGGGUGUAAAAACUUGGCUGACAGAUUUGACCUUAAGACGAUUCGAGCUAUUGCAUUUGUUUUGAUGGAAAAUCUCAAAACAGAGGUAAAAGAAACAUCACUUGUACCAGACACGGUAAAAUCUACUGCCUUCUUAGAUGCUUGCAACAUACUUAAAUGUAGUAAUGUGGUUUCUGCAACUAUUGAAGAGCUUAGUAAAACUGUUGGUGCUGAUAUACAACCUAUUCUAACAAGGUUACAUACCCUACAAAAUUAGCUUGUAAGGCGGGGGAGUCAACUUAUGUAAACACAUUUUCAGGUCUUAUCGUCAAAUAUGAUACUAUUAAUACAACUCUCUCGAGUCCAAAGAUUGAAUAUCUGAAGUGUGACUUGAGUGAUCGGAUGAGAGUUUCCAAGAUGCGUUGCGCCUCUUGCAAUCGGAUGAGACACCAAAAGUCUAGUAUUCAGUGUCAGAUGGGUGUGUGCUGGCAGUAUUACGUUGGGUGAUAUAUGACCUGAAAGUUUUUGAGUUAUUUCCCUCAUCUUACAAGUCAAUUGUGUAAAGUUAAGUUAGGCCCAAGUUAAAUUCUAAGUAGCUACGAAGGUCUAUCCUUGAUCGGUUGAAUCACACUUCAAAGGUUCAGUCCUGAAUUUGAGGGGUGUGUUAACUAUUCUACAUUAUGACCUGAAAAUGUGUUUAUAAAUGGGAGUUCGACGCCAACUUCCAAACGAAAGAAGCGGAAAGUUGGAAGCAAAGAGUAAGAUUUUAUCCUGGAAGGACCUGAAAUUUAUUCUCCUUAUUUUGUUGUCCUUACAUGUGCUGUGAAAACACUGAUUUUGAGUGUCUCCAUAGGCUAAUUAGCUAGUAAUAUUUUUUUAUUUGGUUAGCAUUAAAUAUUUUCUGCAAGAUUGUAUAUAUGUGAGAAAAAACCAGUGCGGAAAAUGAAGAUAUGAAGUUUUGCAAUCUUUCAAUGA